rnacentral:rRNA from 1 species
CGGCGGACGGGUGAGUAACGCGUGGGCAACCUGCCUCACACAGGGGGAUAACAGUUAGAAAUGACUGCUAAUACCGCAUAAGACCACGAAACCGCAUGGUUUUGAGGUAAAAACUCCGGUGGUGUGAGAUGGGCCCGCGUCUGAUUAGGUAGUUGGUGCGGUAACGGCGCACCAAGCCGACGAUCAGUAGCCGACCUGAGAGGGUGACCGGCCCACAUUGGGACUGAGACACGGUCCAGACUCCUACGGGAGGCAGCAUG